GCUCAAAACUCAACCAGCUGGACACAAGAGGGGAAGAGUUUCAACUGACAAAAAAAGGGGCUGCUGAAAUGAGAACACAGAUGAGUUGCGUGACUUGGGGAUGGAUAGGGUGACCACGCACCACGCUGCCUGCGUGGUGGUGACUGGGGACCAUGGGUCUGUGCUCGUGCUACCACACGCACACAACCUCCCACAGACGCAGACAUUUAUCUGAUGCUUUUAGCCCUGAGUUAACGGCAGAGAGUGCAGCGGUGGAGUGAACUCCAUUAACUCAGCUACUGACAUAACAAAGCA